UACGAAGGGUGCAAGCGUUACUCGGAUUACUGGGCGUAAAGCGUGCGUAGGUGGUUUGUUAAGUCUGAUGUGAAAGCCCUGGGCUCAACCUGGGAAUUGGCAUUGGAUACUGGCAGGCUAGAGUGCGGUAGAGGUAGUGGAAUUCCCGGUGUAGCAGUGAAAUGCGUAGAGAUCGGGAGGAACAUCUGUGGCGAAGGCGACUACCUGGACCAGCACUGACACUGAGGCACGAAAGCG
rnacentral:rRNA from 1 species